GGGGAAAGAAUAUAAUGAUGGAUUCUAAGAAACGAUCGAUAAUUAUCUCAAAUGGGGGCAAAAAAGUUUACAAAGGGUCAAGUUUAUUCAUUAAACACCAUAAAAUGAAACAAUCAGAAGAACCCUCAUUACACACUACUAAAAGAAUAAAUAUGGGUCAAAGACGACGAUUGCAUAAUAUAUGAUAAGAUGAUUCAGCUCCAACAACAAAGCGUCAUUGAAGGAGAUCCAAGAGAUAAAAUUGAUAUUUAUAAUGAGAUUUUUGGAACAAGAUUAAAAAGAAAAUACACGGGUAUCAUGACUUCUGGAGAUUCGCUUCAAAGCCCAAGCAAAUGCAAUCCGGAAGAUGCAAGCAGAUAUUGCAUUACUAGAACAAGAGAUGUUGAUUUAAAUGUUGAACCAAAUAG